ensembl:lncRNA
CUAUGAUAAUCUAACUCUUUCUGAUUCAUCCUUUGUAGAUUUUAUUAAUAAAAGAAUUGAUCUUUUCUUAUCUAUCAAUGAUACCCCAGAUAUCAGCAAAGCCACACGUUGGGAGUCUUUAAAGUACUCACGUGCGCAUUAAGAAUGCCCAUUUCAGUGCCCUCAGUGCUCAACAUGCUGGAGCUCUUAAAAACACUAUAUUCAAUGUAAAAGUUAAAAAUCACGUACACGACGAAGUGAUGAUACAGAAAAUAGGGAACUUAGGACCAAUGUCCUCUCGGUAUGAGGGUCCUUAUUCGGUGUUGUUGACUACUCCAACAUCUCUUCUUGUUGAAAUCGAGCCAGGCUUGACUUGAUGGAUGCAUCUUGCACAAGUGAAGCCUCUGUCGCCGCUUGCUGAUACUAACUCUCUUUCUAAUGUGAUUUAGUCCAACAGGUGCAGUAUUUUAUAUCCAAGGAAUGGCUGCUAAGGAAGAACAAUGACUAAUUGUUUCCUCUCUUUAGGUUCUCAACUAUGAUUCCAUCCGGACCUGUUGUGUUAAUAUAUAUAUAUAUAAAAAAAGAGAAACUGAAAACCAUGGUGUUUGUGUUUAUGUGUAUUGGUGUUGUCCUGUUUGGUUGUCUAUAUGUCGUUGUGUGUGUUGUGUUUUUAUCCAAAAAUUUCUGCUCCUACUAUUUUAUAUCUCUAAAAGUGCAGCUCAUUGACAUUUUGGGAGUGGUUGCUGUGCUCGUGGCUGGACAUCAGUGUUUCAUCGCAUCAUCAUAACAUUACUCGUUAACUAAUUCUACAUCAUCUGAGAGACCUGUGCUAAAAUCUACCAGCUGAUAGAUAUAUAUAGAUUUACAAAUUCCUACAUUAAGAUGCCUUAAAAGAUUGUUGAUCAAAGAGAUUCUUAUUCUCCCAUUUAUACCAGUAGUGAUGAGGAAAUCUAUACCUUGCAGGUGAAGGGUAAGGAAAGGUAUGAGAUGUUGAAAACGAUCAACGAAAGUUUGGAAAUUAACGACAUGGUACCAUAAGGACAAAUAUCUUCAACUACUAUCUCCCAAGGGCAAGAAGAGAAAGAACGAUGAUAGAGUUUAGAGUUGAGAAAGAUGGAAGGCUGUGGUAAGUCCUCAACCCAGCAAAAGUCCAGGGGACGCCAGGGGUCGAAUUUCCUUAGGAGUUCUCGUCUGGCCAUCUUGGUGAAGAUCUUUGUUAAUUUUAAGGUAGCUGGGGUUAGAGAGGUAUCUACAGUACUAUCUAUCUGAAAUUGUUUUAUUGAUUUUCUAUAUUUUCAUGUAUGCAUCAUGUAUUUUUCUUUUGAAUUACUCUGUAUUUUUGGUUUUGAUUUAAGGAAAAGGUUGUGGCGAGUCUUUUGAUAAGACUCGAGUGGGGGAUUGGUGUGUGGAGAUUCUAAGAAAUCCACAUGGUGAUAGAGAUUCUGAGAAGAAGUCCACGUAUUUAAAUUAAACCCAAGUGUUGUUGAGAGAUUCUGAGAAGUCACGUACUCAGAAUGUGUUCUAUUCAUAAUGAUAAGUUUCAUUUCAAAAGUUAAAAAAUUAAUAUUUCAUGUCUCAUAUAUAUAUAUUAAUAGGUUUCAUUUUUAUAUUCAAAAAUGUUUUUGGUAAACUUUAUGGUAUAUUUCAUAUGUAAUUUCACAGUAUUUCUAACUGCGUAGUCAGCUGAGUCUGUUUUGCAUAUGAAGUUGAACUGCAUGUAUUGUUCUUUUGUAUCAAUAUUUCUUAGAAUUAUCAGUAUGAUACUUUGAAUCUAAAAGAGGAAGAAGUCCAAAAUCGAGACAUUGACUAGACUAUUUUUAAAGGUCAGGUGUUAUUAGUGAUAGCCAGAUGACGACUUAUGUCUAGAACAACAGUAUAUAAGAUAGACUCUGCAAAAUAGAAUAGGGUUUUGACUUUCUGAGACUCUGGUCUCUCUAUCUUUUCAGCUCACUUCCUCUUCUUUGGCUUCACUCGACAACUCUUAGACUCAGACUUAGAACUCUUACAGGUUUUUAUUCAAAUUCAGAUACCUUGAAAUUCAGAUACUUUGAUACUCUGAUACUCUGAUACUUUGAUAUUUGAAUAUUUAAUAUUUUGGUACUUUUGAUUCGAACAGAAUAAUUGUUUAUGUUUUAAUUACAAUUGUAUUAAUGUUUUGAUUAAUACUGGUUGGGUUCAAUCCAUCAUAAAUGGAUUGUUAUUAAAAAUGUACUAACAUUGGAUUUACAUUUUCUAUAUUUGAAGGUUGUUACUAUUAUCCAGAACUUUAUUUCCAAGUUAUAAUUUGUGGUGUCUGUUCUCUAUAUUCUUUUUAAUAAAUUUACAUAUUAUUACA